rnacentral:rRNA from 1 species
UACAGAGGGUGCAAGCGUUAAUCGGAGUUACUGGGCGUAAAGGGCGCGUAGGCGGUCAUGUAAGUGAGAUGUGAAAUCCCUGGGCUUAACCUAGGAACGGCAUCUUAAACUGUGUGACUGGAGUACUGUAGAGGGUAGUGGAAUUUCCGGUGUAGCAGUGAAAUGCGUAGAGAUCGGAAGGAACACCAGUGGCGAAGGCGGCUACCUGGACAGAUACUGACGCUGAGGCGCGAGAGCGUGGGGAGCAAACAGG